GAUGAAUAACGCAGUGAAAUGCGAUAAGUAAUGUGAAUUGCAGAAUUCAGUGAAUCAUCGAAUCUUUGAACGCAUCUUGCGCUCCUUGGUAUUCCGAGGAGCAUGCCUGUUUGAGUGUCAUUUAACUUCUCAACCACAUUGGAUAUUUUUUUUCCGAUGCCGGCUUGGAUGUGGGGGUUGUUUGCAGGCUUUUUGUAACAAAAAAGGUCGGCUCCCCUGAAAUGUAUUAGUGGUAUCUGAGGCUAUUACUAUUAGGUGUGAUAAUUAUCUAUGCCUUUUGGGUAUGCCGCAUGAACAGAUUAUGCUGCUUCUAACGAAAACUAUUUUGAUGAAUUUGACCUCAAAUCAGGUAGGACUACCCGCUGAACUUAAGCAUAUCAAUAAGCGGAGGA
rnacentral:misc_RNA from 1 species